rnacentral:rRNA from 1 species
UGACGGGUACACUGUGGGGACCGCCGCUGCUAAAGCGGAGGAAGGAAUGGGCAACGGUAGGUCAGUAUGCCCCGAAUAUCCCGGGCUACACGCGAGCUACAAUGGUUGGUACAAUGGGUAUCUACCCCGAAAGGGGACGGGAAUCUCCUAAAACCAAUCUUAGUUCGGAUUGAGGGCUGCAACUCGCCCUCAUGAAGCUGGAAUCCGUAGUAAUCGCGUUUCAACAGAACGCGGUGAAUACGUCCCUGCUCCUU